GGAGGAAAAGAAACUAACAAGGAUUCCCCUAGUAACUGCGAGUGAAGCGGGAAAAGCUCAAAUUUAAAAUCUGGCAGUCUUUGGCUGUCCGAGUUGUAAUCUAGAGAAGUGUUACCCGCGUCGGACCGUGUAUAAGUCUCCUGGAAUGGAGCGUCAUAGAGGGUGAGAAUCCCGUCUUUGACACGGACUCCCGAGGCAUUGUGGUAUGCUCUCAAAGAGUCGAGUUGUUUGGGAAUGCAGCUCAAAAUGGGUGGUAAAUUCCAUCUAAAGCUAAAUAUUGGCGAGAGACCGAUAGCGAACAAGUACCGUGAGGGAAAGAUGAAAAGAACUUUGGAAAGAGAGUUAAACAGUACGUGAAAUUGCUGAAAGGGAAACGCUUGAAGUCAGUCGCGUCGGCCGGAAAUCAACCUUGCUUUUGCUGGGCGUACUUUCUGGUUGACGGGCCAGCAUCAGUUUUGACCGGUGGAAAAAGUCUAAGGGAAUGUGGCAUCUUCGGAUGUGUUAUAGCCCUUGGUCGUAUACAUCGGUUGGGACUGAGGAACUCAGCAUGCCGCAAGGCCGGGUCUUUGACCACGUUCAUGCUUAGGAUGCUGGCAUAAUGGCUUUAAUCGACCCGUCUUGAAACACGGACCAAGGAGUCUAACAUGCCUGCGAGUAUUUGGGUGGAAAACCCGAGUGCGCAAUGAAAGUGAAAGUUGAGAUCCCUGUCGUGGGGAGCAUCGACGCCCGGACCAGAAGUUCUCUGACGGAUCUGCGGUAGAGCAUGUAUGUUGGGACCCGAAAGAUGGUGAACUAUGCCUGAAUAGGGUGAAGCCAGAGGAAACUCUGGUGGAGGCUCGUAGCGAUUCUGACGUGCAAAUCGAUCGUCAAAUUUGGGUAUAGGGGCGAAAGACUAAUCGAACCAUCUAGUACUUGG
rnacentral:rRNA from 1 species